UACGGGGGGGGCAAGCGUUGUUCGGAAUUACUGGGCGUAAAGGGCUCGUAGGCGGCCAACUAAGUCAGACGUGAAAUCCCUCGGCUUAACCGGGGAACUGCGUCUGAUACUGGAUGGCUUGAGAUUGGGAGAGGGAUGCGGAAUUCCAGGUGUAGCGGUGAAAUGCGCAGAUAUCAGGAGGAACACCUAUAGCGAAGGCAGCUUGCUGGGACGUUACUGACGCUAAGGCGCGAAAGCGUGGGGAGCGAACAGG
rnacentral:rRNA from 1 species